UCGCGUCAAGCGCCGUAGGCAGGAGCGGGGGACCCAAGGUAAGUGCCGGGCCCGGCAGUUGACUGCCGGAACCGGCUGGGGGUGAAGCCGCGCGACCCGCGACAGCGGGAGCGCGGCCGGGCAACUCAACCGGCCCGAACCCGACAGCUCACCUCGCAGGCAUCGGUGAGGGGAUCG
rnacentral:sRNA from 2 species